CGAAGCGCCGUCUACGCUAGUCGCCGUCUGCUGAGGACCCGCCCGUACGACACGGGGCGGGAGAGACGAGAGGA
rnacentral:ncRNA from 1 species